CGUUAGCGGCGGACGGGUGAGUAACACGUGGGUAACCUACCUAUAAGACUGGGAUAACUCCGGGAAACCGGGGCUAAUACCGGAUAACACAUGAAACCGCAUGGUUUCAUGAUGAAAGACGGUUUUGCUGUCACUUAUAGAUGGAUCCGCGCCGCAUUAGCUAGUUGGUAAGGUAACGGCUUACCAAGGCAACGAUGCGUAGCCGACCUGGAGGGUGAUCGGCCACACUGGAACUGAGACACGGUCCAG
rnacentral:rRNA from 1 species